UGAAUCAUCUUUUAUCGUUGUAGUAGGGGAGACCGAAUUAAACUAAAUUUAAGCGAUAGUAAACUUGGUAUACGUGAGUGGAUUUAGGAAAACAAGUGAGUAUCAGUGAUGGGUGUUCGUACCUUUUGCAUCAUGGCCAUACUACUUUCUAUUCUUAGGGAGUAACCCGAAAAUUCUGUGAUCUACUUCUCCGCUAGGGGUUGGCGUUGGAUAGCUAUCCGGAGACGGAGAGAUAGUGGCGAUAUACUUUUCGCACGGGUUGAUAGCUGGUUGCCCUAGAAAUAUAUCUAAGUAUAGCUUUUUGUAGGAUGCACUCUAAGGGUAAGGGUUUUUAAGUGUUGGUAAUUUUUACUAAUAUUUAAGGUUUUAGAAGGUAAGUGUUUUUUUUAAAAAGUUGGCCUUUUCAGGCUAAGCUGAGAGGGUGAUUGUAAAAGGGCUGUGGCGAAGCUAAAGAAUUUGAAGUGGGCUUGAAGGAGCCAUCUUUUUGGAGUGGGUUAUACCUCAAGGGUUUUUAGCAGGCAUAAAUAGAAGUUUUUCUACCCUUUUUUGUCUAUGGGGCUUUUUUAUGAAAUUAAGUUAGUAAAAGUGACAAUGUAGGGAUGAGUAGUCGAGAUAGCGUAGUUGUUUUUUAUUCGGGGGAUAAAACGUGAAGGGUUAAAACCGUACUGGUAAACAAAGUUAAAGGAACUCGGCAAGAAAGAGGACCGCCUGUUUAACAAAAACAUGGCUUUCUGGAUAAUAUGGGGGGUCGUGCCUUCCCGGUGAGCUUUCGAGCUUAAACGGACGCGGUAAAUCGUGCUAAGGUAGCUAAAUUAUGGCCUAUUAAUUGUAGGUCCUGUGAAUGGUUUGACGAGUCUUCAACUGUCUCUGAUUUGCUUUGGUGAAAUUGAAUUGGAAGUGCAAAUGCUUCCGUAGGUAAGAAAGACGAGAAGACCCCGUGAAGUUAGAAAUUCAAGCCAUGAACGUUAGUCCUCUAAGUUUAUUGGCUUAGGUUUAUGAGGGUUUGGGGGUUUGUUUAUCUGAUUCCUGGGCUGUUAUUAGUGGAGGGGCAUGGUGGUAGUUUUGGCUGGGGCAGCAAAGGAGCAAAGCUAGACUCCUAUUUGAUUUUAAGCAGUUGUGCUACGACCCACAGAGUUUUUUUGUGUGAUUAGCAGAAGGAGUUACUCCGGGGAUAACAGCGUUAUCCGUCUUGACAGUUCUUAUAGAUGGGCGGGUUUGCGACCUCGAUGUUGGCUCUGGAUAUCCUUAGGCUUGCAGGCGGUCUUUAGGGUUGGUUCGUUCGCCCAUGAAAAUCCAACGUGAGCUGAGUUCAGAUCGGCGAAAGUUAGGUCGGUUUCUAUCUUCUUUCAAGUAAAGUUGGGCUUUAGGGUACGAAAGGACAUUUAGCUCUAGGUAAUAGCCUACGGUUAUUGAUGGAUAAAUAA
rnacentral:rRNA from 1 species